GCGGAAGUAGUUCAGUGGUAGAACAUCACCUUGCCAAGGUGGGGGUCGCGGGUUCGAACCCCGUCUUCCGCUUCA
rnacentral:tRNA from 2 species